CCUACGGGUGGCUGCAGUGGGGAAUAUUGGACAAUGGGCGAAAGCCUGAUCCAGCCAUGCCGCGUGUGUGAAGAAGGCCUUCGGGUUGUAAAGCACUUUCAGUGGGGAAGAAAGCCUUGGGGCUAAUACCCUCGAGGAAGGACAUCACCCACAGAAGAAGCACCGGCUAACUCCCGUGCCAGCAGCCGCGGUAAUACGGAGGGUGCGAGCGUUAAUCGGAAUUACUGGGCGUAAAGCGCGCGUAGGCGGUCUGAUAAGCCGGUUGUGAAAGCCCCGGGCUCAACCUGGGAACGGCAUCCGGAACUGUCAGGCUAGAGUGCAGGAGAGGAAGGUAGAAUUCCCGGUGUAGCGGUGAAAUGCGUAGAGAUCGGGAGGAAUACCAGUGGCGAAGGCGGCCUUCUGGACUGACACUGACGCUGAGGUGCGAAAGCGUGGGUAGCAAACAGGAUUAGAUACCCCUGUAGUC
rnacentral:rRNA from 1 species